AUCCGGGCUAGAAGCGACG
rnacentral:snRNA from 1 species